rnacentral:rRNA from 1 species
CAUAAGUAACGAUAAAGCGGGUGAAAAGCCCGCUCGCCGGAAGACCAAGGGUUCCUGUCCAACGUUAAUCGGGGCAGGGUGAGUCGACCCCUAAGGCGAGGCCGAAAGGCGUAGUCGAUGGGAAACAGGUUAAUAUUCCUGUACUUGGUGUUACUGCGAAGGGGGGACGGAGAAGGCUAUGUUGGCCGGGCGACGGUUGUCCCGGUUUAAGCGUGUAGGCUGGUUUUCCAGGCAAAUCCGGAAAAUCAAGGCUGAGGCGUGAUGACGAGGCACUACGGUGCUGAAGCAACAAAUGCCCUGCUUCCAGGAAAAGCCUCUAAGCAUCAGGUAACAUCAAAUCGUACCCCAAACCGACACAGGUGGUCAGGUAGAGAAUACCAAGGCGCUUGAGAGAACUCGGGUGAAGGAACUAGGCAAAAUGGUGCCGUAACUUCGGGAGAA